rnacentral:rRNA from 3 species
GAUACCCGCUGAACUUAAGCAUAUCAAUAAGCGGAGGAAAAGAAACCAACCGGGAUUGCCUCAGUAACGGCGAGUGAAGCGGCAAGAGCUCAAAUUUGAAAUCUGGCCCCCUCGGGGUCCGAGUUGUAAUUUGCAGAGGAUGCUUCGGGUGCGGCCCCCGUCUAAGUGCCCUGGAACGGGCCGUCAUAGAGGGUGAGAAUCCCGUCUGGGACGGGGUGUCCGCGUCCGUGUGAAGCUCCUUCGACGAGUCGAGUUGUUUGGGAAUGCAGCUCUAAAUGGGUGGUAAAUUUCAUCUAAAGCUAAAUACUGGCCGGAGACCGAUAGCGCACAAGUAGAGUGAUCGAAAGAUGAAAAGCACUUUGAAAAGAGAGUUAAAAAGCACGUGAAAUUGUUGAAAGGGAAGCGCUUGCGACCAGACUCGCCCGCGGGGUUCAGCCGGCAUUCGUGCCGGUGUACUUCCCCGCGGGCGGGCCAGCGUCGGUUUGGGCGGCCGGUCAAAGGCCCCCGGAAUGUAGCACCCUUCGGGGUGCCUUAUAGCCGGGGGUGCAAUGCGGCCAGCCUGGACCGAGGAACGCGCUUCGGCACGGACGCUGGCAUAAUGGUCGUAAACGACC